rnacentral:lncRNA from 1 species
AUGAAGGGUGACAUUCCACCAUCCAGCCAGUCAGAACAACCAAAAGCAGAAAUCAGCAUUUCAGUAGGUUUUCCAACCAGUUCUUUCUCCUGUCUCACACUUCAUAUUAAAGUGGCCUUUAGCAACUGGGAAACACGUGUAACUGUUACAACUAUGGCAUCAUAUUCACCAUCGUCUUCGCCAUCACCGUCAGCACCACCUUCAGCAGCACCAGCAGCAUCAUUGUCUUCAUCAACAUCAUUGAAUUUGUUGAUUUCAUUCUAUUGGCCAUGAAUCAUGUGUUUGAGACUCACCUGGAACUCUGAAAGAAGACAGGAAAGCUUUCCAGCACAUUCUUUUUCAGCAACUCAGGAGGCCAUGAACAGAUUUCUAUAGAUAAUGUUCAAUUUUAUAAUAUCAGUCUUAUGUGACUAAACUUACAUGGAACCAAAAUUUUGCAAUGGCUCUGAUAAACUUUAAUAUUAGUUAAUUUAAAAAGGUUAUUAAUUUUAAAUUUUAUUAGUCAAAUAGAACUUUUGAAAUUCAAUACCAUAAAAUAACAUACCAUAGUGAGAUUUUUAUAUGUGAAAAUGUGAAAUCACUUUUAUUGUAGCUUUUCUUGUAUCAUGCCAGUGUAAAUAUACCAAUUACUUUGUUAAUAGGUCUGGUCACUCUAUGGGAUAUGCCCACAA